UACGAAAUCAUAAUAAUUUUGAAGGAGUUGGGCUGAAUGGGAACUAUCAUUUGUCAAGACUGUCAACAAAUUAUUGAACAAUUUGAUGAUGAAAAAGUAACAACCCUUUAUGGCGCUUGUCCGACUUGUAAAUAAAUAGUAAAAAAGGAGUUGCAUAAUAUAAAAUGCAACUCCUUUUUUA
rnacentral:sRNA from 1 species